rnacentral:Y_RNA from 1 species
GGCUGGUCUAAGUGCAGUGGUGUUUACAACUAAUUGAUCACAGUCACUUACAGAUUUCAUUGUUACUUCUCCAUUGCUUCACUUGACUAGCCUUAA